rnacentral:rRNA from 1 species
AUUGAACGCUGGCGGCAGGCCUAACACAUGCAAGUCGAGCGGAUGAAGGGAGCUUGCUUCUGGCUUCAGCGUCGGACGGGUGUGUAAUGCCUAGGAAUCUGCUUGGUAGUGGGGGAUGACGUCCGUAAACGGGCGCUAAUACUGCCUACGUCCUGAGGGUGAAAGAGGGGGUUCUUCGGACAUCACGCACUCAGAUGAGACUAGGUCGGAUUAGCUAGUUGGUGGGGUUAAGGCAUACAACGGCGACGAUCCGUAACUGGUCUGAGAGGAUGAUCAGUCACACUGGAAGUGAGACACGGCCCAGACUCCUACGGGAGGCAGGAGGGGGGAAUAUUGGACUGGGGGCGAAAGCCUGAGCCAGCCGUGGCGCGAGUGUAAAGAAGGUCUGCGGAUUGUAAAGCUCUUUAAGGUGGGAGGAAGGGCAGUAAGUUAAUACCUUGCUGUGUGGACGUAACCAACAGAAUAAGCACCGGCUAACUCGGU